UGGUUUCGGACCUGUUUAUUGUUAAACAGAGCAUGACUCAAAACGACGCAGCUUUGGCUCAGGAUCAGAAAGGUAAAGCGAAUAUGGGCCAAGACGAGACAAAGCCCAGUCGACAAAGAAGAGUGCAUCUUCGGUGGUCUUAGUGGCUUAAGGCUACAGCCCUCGAUUCUCUUAAGGAUCAGGAUUGAGCCAUCUGUCUAGUGAGCUACGGUUUUCAUUCUCUAGCAUAAAUAUACUAAACUAGGUUGUAAUCGUUGAGGUAAUGAAUGAAAUGAAAGUUCAGUGAAACAAAUUCAUCUUCUUCAUAAGUUUUUCAGUUUUUAUAAAUCUCUUUAUUUAUAAGGUAGGGAAGAUAUUUGUUUUUUUCAUCUUUGUAGAUUUGGGAUCUAUGGGAAAAAGGUGAAGCAAAGGACAUCAUAGACAACUUUAUGGAUCAAGGGACUUAUAACGAGAGCGAAGUGGUGAAGUGCAUACACAUUGGGUUGCUUUGCGUACAAGAAAACGCUUCGGACAGAGUAGAUAUGUCCUCUGUUCUCAUCAUGUUGGGUCAAAACGCUAUUGAUCUUCCAAAUCCUAAGCUUCCUGCGUUUACUUCCGUGAGAAGGAGAGGCCGCGAAAUUGUUUCUUUGCUCAUUGCAGAGCCGGGUAGUUCUGUUAAUGACGUUACCUUCACCGAUGUUCAAGGUCGUUAAAUUUCUUACAAAGAAAGAAGAAGAAAAAGAGAGAGUAAAUUUCUUUCUUGGCUUCACUAUAAUAAAAUUUAUGCAGAAGAGUCAAAGAUGUUGUUAUGUAUUUAAUGGAAUUAUGAAAGGUCAAAACUGAUCUUAUCCACAAUUCCAAACUAUCCAGGUUCGUUCAUUUCACUAUAUAUAUACAUAGCAAAGCAACCCAAACACACAAAACCAUAAUAGUGUGGCUUCUCAAGAAAAAAAAAUGGCUUCUCAAGAACAUAUGUGGUUUAUGUUCUUUCUCCUUUUCAGCUUCUUCAUCCAGGCUGAUUCGGCUCGGGGAGGUUCAUGUUCUCGGUGGUUAGCAUCCAAAUCACGGUUGAAACAUUAGGUCGAUCGUCAGCAACUUCUUGCACACACAACAAACCAAUCUGAACACAUUUUGUUAUCUCUUUCUCGAAAGACUCAUCAAAGACGUUUGGAUCUGCUAGAGAAGCAGCCUCUCCCUCAUUCCACAGCGUCCACACCUGUAAGAAUAUCAAAUUUACAGAAGACCCCUGCAUAUUCCUUCCAUUAUGUUCAACCGUGUCUUCCAGUCAAGAAUCUUUUGCUUCAAAGGGUCUGAAGAAAGAGCUUACAAAAUCAUUAGCUUUCCUAAGUAAGAACAAAAGAGAGGAGAUCAUUUUACCAAAUAGAUAGGCAUCCAAGCUUUUCUUUGGCAUAUAUUCGUAGACUAGCAACCUUUCUUCACCUUCAAUGCAACAGCCAAGUAACUUCACCAGAUUCCUAUGUUGCAACUUCGAAAUGACAACCACUUCGUUCAUAAGCUCCUCAAGUCCUUGUCCUGAUGCCCUUGAGAGCCUCUUCACUGCUAUUUCUUGCCCUUCAGGACCAAAUCCGCCUUGUCCGAGCUUGCUUCUGAGAGAGAAGUCAUCAGUUGCUGUAGCUAACACUUGAAACUCAAAGAGCGGAAGCUCCUCUAGCUUGACUUGGUUAGAAGCAGGCUCAUCACCACUGUUAACUUCUUCCAUUCUCUUUAACAAUUGCUCUACGCUUCUAUCUUUCUUUGGUUCUCCUAAGGCAACGAUUGAAGAUGCAAACAAAUUAUUAUAAAAGGAAAAAUCUCAAGCAAGAGUAAAGAAAAUUCUAACCCGGACGCUUUUUGAGUUUCAGGCAUGCUAAAAGAACGCAGACCGCAACAACAAACACAACGCCUAGAACAAGUGCUGUGAUCAUUACUGCUCUCUUGCUAUGUGCUUCUACAAGAUUUUGAAUGCGAGAGACGAAUAUAAAGAUCAAUGCCACUUCCCAAGAACGAUUGCAUAUCAACCAAGCUACCGCUCCAAAGCAUGCAUCCAAUGCCUUGAUCAUAUGCAUAAGCUGUGCAAGAACAGUUAUCUAAACAAGCCUUAGGACAAGCUUGCGCAUUAGCUAAAGACGGUUGCACAUUGACAGUUUCCUCCACUCCACUCUGUGCUAUUCCUCGGCACAAAACCUUGUAUGCACUUGCACUGUGGAUCUUCCCGGUAAUUGCAGCUCCCAUAAGGACCACAUCUACUGUAUUCAUCACAGUCUGUAGAUGGGAACCGAACACCGACUCGCCAGUCAUUCAUAGAAGUACUCCAGUCUCUCUGGUAUAUAGCUCCAUUAGGAUCCAAGUUGAAGUGAUACAUGAAGGAGUCAUUAGCAUAGCUCAACGAAACCGUUCCGUGGUUAUCAUUGUUGAGGUUAAAACCAUCAAUGUUGAGGAGAGAAUCCAUAUCCGGUAAACCGAUGAAAACCUGACCAUUCCAGGGACCGCUACGCCACUGUGGAACCUUGUUCUUCCAGAUUAGAAGCUCGGGAAACGGGAAAGCGACAAGGCCAACUGUAUAGUUCCCUGUUGAAGGAUCUGUAUAGUUUCUC